AACAAGGCGUACCUGCGGACCUGCGGAGGGAUCAUUAUAGAAUUUAAUUUUUUUUACUCCUUAAGGGGGGUUUAAAAAAAAAAUUCCAAACCCUUUUGUUUUAAAAACCUUUGUUGCUUUGGUAAGGAGAGGGAUGAAGGGGGGGGGGGAGGGUUUUUCCCUUUUCUCCUCUUCCCCCUUACCAAAGGAAAUUUUAAAAACUCUGAUUUUUUUAACUGUCUGAAAAUUUUUUAAAAUGAA
rnacentral:misc_RNA from 1 species